GUGCUCGAGUGGCGAACGGGUGAGUAACACGUGAGUAACCUGCCCUUGACUUUGGGAUAACUUCAGGAAACUGGGCUAAUACCGGAUAGGAGCUCCUGCUGCAUGGUGGGGGUUGGAAAGUUUCGGCGGUUGGGGAUGGACUCGCGGCUUAUCAGCUUGUUGGUGGGGUAGUGGCUUACCAAGGCUUUGACGGGUAGCCGGCCUGAGAGGGUGACCGGCCACAUUGGGACUGAGAUACGGCCCAG
rnacentral:rRNA from 1 species